CAAGGUGAGAGAUACGGAGGUAGAGCACUGAAUGUCCUAGGGGGUAUUGCACCUACCGAAGACUAUCAAACUCCGAAUGCCGUCAUCUUAUACUUGGGAGUCAGACUGUGGGGGAUAAGAUUCAUAGUCGAAAGGGCAACAGCCCAGAUCGUCAGCUAAGGUCCCUAAAUGUAAGUUAAGUGGUAAAGGAUGUGGGAUUGCACAGACAACCAGGAUGUUGGCUUAGAAGCAGCCACUCAUUCAAAGAGUGCGUAAUAGC
rnacentral:rRNA from 1 species